rnacentral:pre_miRNA from 1 species
UUAAUUUACAUUUGUAUUGGAGUUGGAACGUUUGCCUACGUUUGCCGCUAGGGGCGCUGUUCUAACUGCAUACAAAUUUGAGUUA